AUUCCGGUUCUCGUACGAUCACCGAAGUUAAACAACGUUGAGGCUUGUCAGUAUCUAGAUGGGUGACCGCUUGGGAAUGCCAAGUCUUGUAA